UACGGGGGGGGGCAAGCGUUGUUCGGAAUUACUGGGCGUAAAGGGCGCGUAGGCGGCCUGCUAAGUCGGAUGUGAAAUCCCUCGGCUCAACCGAGGAACUGCAUCCGAUACUGGCGGGCUUGAAUCCGGGAGAGGGAUGUGGAAUUCCAGGUGUAGCGGUGAAAUGCGUAGAGAUGUGGAGGAACACCAGUGGCGAAGGCGACUCUUUGGCCUGUAACUGACGCUGAGGCGCGAAAGCGUGGGGAGCAAACAGG
rnacentral:rRNA from 1 species